rnacentral:rRNA from 1 species
GAUGAACGCUGGCGGCGUGCCUAAUACAUGCAAGUCGAGCGAACGGACGAGAAGCUUGCUUCUCUGAUGUUAGCGGCGGACGGGUGAGUAACACGUGGAUAACCUACCUAUAAGACUGGGAUAACUUCGGGAAACCGUAGCUAAUACCGGAUAAUAUUUUGAACCGCAUGGUUCAAAAGUGAAAGACGGUCUUGCUGUCACUUAUAGAUGGAUCCGCGCUGCAUUAGCUAGUUGGUAAGGUAACGGCUUACCAAGGCAACGAUGCAUAGCCGACCUGAGAGGGUGAUCGGCCACACUGGAACUGAGACACGGUCCAGACUCCUACGGGAGGCAGCAGUAGGGAAUCUUCCGCAAUGGGCGAAAGCCUGACGGAGCAACGCCGCGUGAGUGAUCAAGGUCUUCGGAUCGUAAAACUCUGUUAUUAGGGAAGAACAUAUGUGUAAGUAACUGUGCACAUCUUGACGGUACCUAAUCAGAAAGCCACGGCUAACUACGUG